rnacentral:rRNA from 1 species
AAUAGAUACCCUGGUAGUCCACGCCGUAAACGAUGAGUGCUAAGUGUUAGAGGGUUUCCGCCCUUUAGUGCUGCAGCUAACGCAUUAAGCACUCCGCCUGGGGAGUACGGCCGCAAGGCUGAAACUCAAAGGAAUUGACGGGGGCCCGCACAAGCGGUGGAGCAUGUGGUUUAAUUCGAAGCAACGCGAAGAACCUUACCAGGUCUUGACAUCCUCUGACAACCCUAGAGAUAGGGCUUUCCCCUUCGGGGGACAGAGUGACAGGUGGUGCAUGGUUGUCGUCAGCUCGUGUCGUGAGAUGUUGGGUUAAGUCCCGCAACGAGCGCAACCCUUGAUCUUAGUUGCCAGCAUUCAGUUGGGCACUCUAAGGUGACUGCCGGUGACAAACCGGAGGAAGGUGGGGAUGACGUCAAAUCAUCAUGCCCCUUAUGACCUGGGCUACACACGUGCUACAAUGGAUGGUACAAAGGGCUGCAAACCUGCGAAGGUAAGCGAAUCCCAUAAAGCCAUUCUCAGUUCGGAUUGC